CGAUGCCCGACGCCGGAGCGCCGAUCGCUCCUUCCCUCCCAGUGUCUUGUCACCGCCCUCGCCCCCUUCUCUUCUAUUUCCCUUUUCUGUCCCCCUUCUCUUUCUUUUUCUUUCUUCCUCCCUUCCCUCUCUUCAUUUUUCUUUUGCCUGCUUUCAGUUAAAAUGUCACCUCGGAGAAGUCCUGGUCCCUUGUCUCGAGGGAAUUCUGCCCACACCACCUGUCCCUAGACUUAGCUAGGGGAGGGGGUCGUUAAACACGCAGAGAAGAUUCCCAUCUUCAAGUACUGCACACAGGGACCUUUGAGAGCAGGCUGAGGACCUACACCCUUUCUAAGGUUCUUGUACUGUGGAAGGAUCUCCUCUCCCCCCGGAAAAGAUUGUCACUACCUGUCGAAGGGGCCUCUGUCUUGCAGCAUCUAUUCCAGUUAGCAAACCAGCACAGGGCAGCAGAGCGGACAACCAGAAGAUCGACCUGAUUGAGAAUGAGCUCGACACUCUGGAGGACAGUUUCACUCCAGGACAGAAGUGCUAUCCCACUGCAGAGACUGGGUUAAAGAUACAGAGGGGGCUACUAGUCUAAACCAGGGAACCAUGAAGCCUGAACCCUGGAGCCUGAGGCAAUGAGGAUGUUCCUGGAGCAGGAUCAGGAUGCUGUUGUCUGAAGUCAACUUUCAGGUGGCCUAGAUCCAGCUGGGCUAUCGCGCUAAGUGGUCCCUGCUCUGUGACCCAUUCUGAGGAAAGAACCAUCUGACAGCCUUGAAAGAGAAAAGACAGCACAGUAUGGAAGCCUCACUGUAUUGACACAGCCACGGAAAUUGUCCAUCCUUGAUUGCCGGCACCGCACUCAGAACUUACCAUACGUUUUCACUGAAUCAUGUUCUGAAUUUUACAAUGUCGAUGUUAUUACAAGACUCAUUCUGAAGAUGGAGAAACAAUCAUAGAAGUUAAGGAGUUUAUCUAGCCACACAACCAUCAGAAAAUAUCCACACUAUAAAGACUGUCAAAUCAGACCAAGUCAUAAGAGCAAAAAUUUAGAAACAACCUAAAUAAGAACAAUUAUGGUACAUGAACUAGAAGGACUAUAAUAUGGUGACAUCACAAAGACCAGGGAGCCAUAAGAAGGUAACAGGAAGUAAUAUGGAAGCCCUUUCCGCAUCUGAGAAUGAGCAGAGUAAGAGAUGACUGGAGUAACAGAAACGCCGUAGGUGGGAAGAAUGACAGCCAGGAGAGAAGGGAGUCAUUCCAUAGUUUUUUUCCGAGGAGGAGGCCAGUGAUGGCGCA